rnacentral:rRNA from 1 species
UACAGAGGUCCCAAGCGUUGUUCGGAUUCACUGGGCGUAAAGGGUGCGUAGGUGGCGAGGUAAGUCGGAUGUGAAAGCUCGGAGCUCAACUCCGAAAUUGCAUUGGAAACUACCUUGCUUGAGGGUUGGAGGGGGGACUGGAAUUCUCGGUGUAGCAGUGAAAUGCGUAGAUAUCGAGAGGAACACCAGUGGCGAAGGCGAGUCCCUGGACAACUCCUGACACUGAGGCACGAAGGCUAGGGGAGCAAACAGG